AACAUUUAUCUACUCUGCCUCUACGGAUGGCCGAAGGGGGAUCGAUUGGGUGCGGCCUGUCCUUACCCACAAUCCACCGCGCGGCUCGAAGAAUUGGCGGCAAGGUGACUUGUGUCACGUUACAAAAUAACCGUACAACAUCGAUGUUAUUUAUUUUAAACAGAUAUUUUUAUUUCAUUUUGACCCCAUUCACCGAUGGAUGAAAACGUUGUGGAACUUGGCUAAGUUACAGUCACUCUCAAAUGGGUCCUUGUGCCAGUAAAAGACAAUAGCAAGUAACCCCAAAUAGGAAGACGCCCCUAUCCUCCAACAAAAGUAAGGGUUCAAGAGAAAUAAAUGACUGUUGCUUGUGACUAUGUUGCAACCCUGCACUGCUUGUUUCCAAUCCAUCAAGUAAAGACGGAGGCUGCUGACUUGGACCUAGAAUGCCAAUCAACGAGCCUCAUUCGAAGAUGUCUCAUCAGGAAAAAAUGAAGUGGAAUGGGUUCACUUCCUGUCCCCUCCCAUGGUGGUCUUCAAAUGGGGCCCCUAUCAAAAGCCCCCCCAUGCACACUCCCUGUGGAUGAUCCCCCCCCCCCCCCCGCGCUCCCCCUUCAGCGGUGGCGGGUAAUUGCUACAGUGAGAUGUGGAUCAGUGGAGCUGCCCUAAUCAAUAAAGUCUUCAUCAGCUAUUUCCCCAGAUGAUUCUUCCUCAUUUCUGCCUUAAUUGUUCUUUUUCAUCCAACAAGCCCGGCACCGUUAGUGUGUGUGUUGGUUUGUAUCUCGACGGACCAACAGCGAACGGUGGCCAAGCUGAAGGAACCCGACGAGAACUCUGCCGGAACAAAGUUUCACCUUCCUGGGGAGAAGUUUGAUAACCAAAACCAGAACCAUACAGAAAUCAGAACCUGACUUGACUCAUUUCCAUCAACACAGCGCUUAUUGCCCUUCUGUGCCAGUAAAACGGUAUGGGAGCGCCUCUGUCCCCGGGGGGAGGGGUCGCCGUCUUUCACCGAACCAUCGCCGCUCAUGUGCAGAAGUCCAAUCAAGCAGUCAGAAGAGAGAUGUCUGGAUGAAAGCUACUUUGCAGUGUGCUUCAGUUGGACAGCUUCAGUUGGACUCACACUCAUCAAAAAGUCAAGUGGCGGUCUACUGGGGAAAAAAGAAGAAAAACAUGCUUGCUCAGGACAUCUGGAGUGGCUCCAGUCAAGGUUGUGGGAAAGCGACAUCAUGGCCACUGCUGCCCUUUACUUGACUCUCUUUCAAAAUUGAGAACCAAUCAUCUUCGCUCUCAUGUUUGUCAGUUACGGUCCAUUUGACACACCCGGUCCUACACAAACAGCGUCCUCGCCUCCUGGAACCUGAGUAUCAAUCGGAGGAUGAUGUUGGGUGGCGGCCACGGCGUUGGGGGUCAUUUCAGUCCAUUCGAACAUGAACAGGCAAGCGGGUCAAAGGUAUCGGAGACAGCUGUCCGCCUCCAUCUUCAUCAUGGCCGCCGUGCCCGUGAGUAAUCUCUGAUUUCACUCUGAUUACAUCUCCAGAGGCCUGACUCAGCCAUCUUGGCUUUGGUCGCGCAUACGUGGUCGCUGAUCGUAAAUACAAUAUGUGCAUACGCUACAUCACUGUAGUUCACGCUUUCAUUUGCGUUCUGUUCCCUUUUGGCGUGUUUGUAACGGAUCUCGUCGCCUGGUGAAAACGCACAAAACGUUAUUUGUCCAUACUCUGAAUUGGUGUCCUAAUUUGGGAUCCUGGAAGGUUUCGCUCAAGUUAUCUAAUCACUGAACCCUUCCCGACUUCAGACAGUCGACUGUGAAUGGAUAUUUCCUUUUCGUGCUCAGUUAUUGUCUUGAGCGUACGACUUGAGUUUCCAGUAUGCGGGGGGAGUCAGGCAACGCUAGUCGACCCAGAUCUAACCAAUGUGAUGGAUGGACUCGAACCAGAAACAACACGUCUAUUUGAGUCGGGCAUUGUAUGUCACUGGGUGCCAGUAUAUGUGUGUGUGUGUUUCCUCUCAACACGUGUGCGCUACUAAAAAAACUCAGUUUCGUAACACACACACACACACACUGGGCUGCUGUCGACUGGGAAAUGUUUGGAAGGCAUGGCAACCCAUUUCCAAAAUGGAAUAAAAGCUUGGCAGCAGAUGGACUCGUCUGUGGGCCUGUGGCACUCCUUUUUCCUGUAAUUGGAGAGCAUUUUGUGGGCCUGGCAGGAGCGCUAGUCUCAGGGCCCUGCGCAAAAAAAAAGAAGCUAACAUAAACACUGGAUUUGAAUGAGUAGCACAGCGCAUCAACAGCAAACAUGCUCGCCAUCUGCUCCCGAUGAAGCUGAUUUACGACGCCCGGUUUUCGAUCUGACAAGGAAUAUCUCGAGCACGUUAAUGACACGUAGCGUUCGGGUGAAGUUUAUCAACUGCCAUAAACAUCAACACUUCCCCUAACUGACAACCUUUGUCGGAAGGGGCGGGGGGAGCGUGCUCAUUUGGAGCUUACGGCAUGCAGACGAUGUUAAUUCAUAGAAA